GACAGAGGGUGCAAACGUUGUUCGGAAUUACUGGGCGUAAAGCGUGCGUAGACGGUUAUUUAAGUCGGGUGUGAAAGCCCCGGGCUCAACCUGGGAAUUGCAUUCGAGACUGAAUAGCUAGGGUACGGUAGAGGGAAGCGGAAUUUCCGGUGUAGCGGUGAAAUGCGUAGAUAUCGGAAGGAACAUCAGUGGCGAAAGCGGCUUCCUGGACCAGUACCGACGUUCAGGCACGAAAGCGUGGGGAGCAAACAGG
rnacentral:rRNA from 1 species